AUAAUAUUAUUGAGAUUAUUUGAGUGGGAGUUAUUAAUUAAAAUAAUUUUUGAAUUAAAGUUUUAGUAUAGUUUAUAGAAUUUAUAAAGUGAAUAAUAGAAUAUUAGUACUGUGGUGGAAAUAUGAAAUAAAAGUGAAAUAGUUAUUAGUAUAAAAGAAGGAUAAAAUUUGUACCUUGGGUGUCAGGGUUUAUUAAUUAAUAAUAAUGAUUUAUAGUUCCCGAAUUAAAAAGAGUUAAAAUGGUAUGGUAGUUAAUGUGUUAUUAUUAUUAGAAAUAUUAUUUUAGUAAUGAAAUGUUAGACGUUUUUUAAGUUAUCUGGUUUUUCAAGAAAUGAAUUUAAUUCAUGUUAUUGUGAGUAAAUAGAUUAAUUGUAAUUAAUGAUUUAUUUCAUAUAACAAAUAUAUAAAGGGAUAAGCUUUUAUAUAAAGAUUAUAAAUUAUGGAAUUUACAAAGAGUAAUAAGCUUUAGAUUAGCUAUUAAUUGAAUAAUGUUAUAAUUUGUCUUGUGGUAUAGGUUAUUUUUAAUAAUUUUAGUUUGUCUAUUGAAAUGCUGUAUUUAAUAGAUAAAUAUAAGUAAUAAUGAUGAAAUGAGUAUAUAAAUGUGUUUAUUGUAGUUUUUAUGAGAAUUUAUAAUAAGGAACUAGGCAAAUUAUCACUCGCCUGUUUAUCAAAAACAUCUCCUUUUGUUUGUAUUUAAGGUAGGGCCUGCCCACUGAAAGUCUUUGAAGGGCCGCGGUAUUAUGACCGUGCAAAGGUAGCAUAAUCAUUAGUCUUUUAAUUGAAGGCUGGAAUGAAUGGUUUGACGAGGUGAUAACUGUCUCGGUAUAAUAAAUGGAAAUUAACUUUUAAGUUAAAAGGCUUAAAUUUUAAUGUAGGACGAGAAGACCCUAUAGAGUUUUAUAUAUAUAUAUUUGAAUUUGUAUUUAGGAGUUUAUGAUAAUUUGGGUUGAUUAUAUUGUGUUGGGGUGACAUAAAGGUAUAAAUAACUCUUUAUUUUUUGGAACAUUAAUUUAUGGAUGGUUGAUCCAUUUUUAGUGAUCAUAAGAUUAAGUUACCUUAGGGAUAACAGCGUAAUUUUUCUUGAGAGUUCAUAUCAACAGAGAAGAUUGCGACCUCGAUGUUGGAUUAAGAAAUAUAAUUAGAUGCAGCAGUUUAAUUAAUAGGUCUGUUCGACCUUUAAAUUCUUACAUGAUCUGAGUUCAGACCGGUGUAAGCCAGGUCGGUUUCUAUCCUUAUUAAAUUUGGAUACUUUAGUACGAAAGGACCAAGUAUUUUAAAUAUUUUAUUAUGUUUGAUUAUUAUUAA
rnacentral:rRNA from 1 species